rnacentral:RNase_P_RNA from 1 species
ACUACAGACCGUGCUAUCGCUCUGAGAUUUAUUUCAGUGAGGAAAGUCCGGACAGCAUAGGGCAACGCACCACCUAACGGGUGGGGCCUGUGAAGGGUGAAAGCCUGAGACAGGUACAGAAAGUGCCACAGAAAAUGACCGCUCCAUAACGGCUUGCCGGUAUGGAGUAAGGGUGAAAAUGUGGGGUAAGAGCCCACGUUCUGUAAUGGCAACAUUAUAGGAGGGUAAACCUUGCGUGCUGAAACGCCAUGUAUACAGUCGAUUGAGGGCGGCUCGCCCGAUGACUGAGGGUAGGCAGCUACAGGUGACGUGUGAACGUCAUCGCAGAUAAAUGAUAGCAUCACGGGCAUUGCCCGGGAACAGAAUCCGGCUUACAGGUUUGUAGUUUAU